AAUGAACGCUGGCGGCGCGCCUAAUACAUGCAAGUCGAGCGAGAAGACGUAGCAAUACGUUUGUAAAGCGGCGAACGGGUGAGGAAUACAUGGGUAACCUACCCUAGAGUGGGGAAUAACUAGCCGAAAGGUUAGCUAAUACCGCGUACGCUCCUUGGACUUCGGUUCAGGGAGGAAAGCGAUGCCGAGGGUAUCGCGCUCUUGGAUGGGCUCAUGUCCUAUCAGCUUGUUGGGAGGUAACGGCUCACCAAGGCUUCGACGGGUAGCUGGUCUGAGAGGACGAUCAGCCACACUGGCACUGCGACACGGGCCAGACUCCUACGGGAGGCAACAGUAAGGAAUAUUGCGCAAUGGGCGAAAGCCUGACGCAGCGACGCCGCGUGGGGGAGUGAAGGUC
rnacentral:rRNA from 1 species